AUUGAACGCUGGCGGCAGUCCUAACACAUGCAAGUCGAGCGGUAACACAAGGGAGCUUGCUCCUGAGGUGACGAGCGGCGGACGGGUGAGUAAUGCCUAGAUAUCUGCCUAGUCGUGGGGGAUAACAGUUGGAAACGACUGCUAAUACCGCAUACGCCCUACGGGGGAAAGGAGGGGACCUUCGGGCCUUUCGCGAUUAGAUGAGUCUAGGUGGGAUUAGCUAGUUGGUGAGGUAAGAGCUCACCAAGGCGACGAUCCCUAGCUGUUCUGAGAGGAUGAUCAGCCACACUGGGACUGAGACACGGCCCAGACUCCUACGGGAGGCAGCAGUGGGGAAUAUUGCACAAUGGGGGAAACCCUGAUGCAGCCGUGCCGCGUGUGUGAAGAAGGCCUUCGGGUUGUAAAGCACUUUCAGUUGUGAGGAAAGGGUAAUACUUAAUACGUAUUAUCUGUGACGUUAGCAACAGAAGAAGCACCGGCUAACUCCGUGCCAGCAGCCGCGGUAAUACGGAGGGUGCGAGCGUUAAUCGGAAUUACUGGGCGUAAAGCGUACGCAGGCGGUUUGUUAAGCGAGAUGUGAAAGCCCCGGGCUCAACCUGGGAACUGCAUUUCGAACUGACAAACUAGAGUUUUGUAGAGGGUGGUAGAAUUUCAGGUGGAGCGGUGAACUGCGUAGAGAUCUGAAGGAAUCCCAGUGGCGAAGGCGGCCACCUGGACAAUACCUGACGCUCAUGUACGAAAGCGUGGGGAGCAAACGGGAUUAGAUCCCCCGGUAGUCCACGCCGUAAACGAUGUCUACUAGCCGUAGGGAGACUUGAUCUCUUAGUGGCGCAGCUAACGCGAUAAGUAGACCGCCUGGGGAGUACGGUCGCAAGAUUAAAACUCAAAUGAAUUGACGGGGGCCCGCACAAGCGGUGGAGCAUGUGGGUUAAUUCGAAGCAACGCGAAGAACCUUACCCGCUCUUGACAUCCACAGAAGCCAGUAGAGAUACAGGUGUGCCUUCGGGAACUGUGAGACAGGUGCUGCAUGGCUGUCGUCAGCUCGUGUUGUGAAAUGUUGGGUUAAGUCCCGCAACGAGCGCAACCCCUAUCCUUAGUUGCCAGCGCGUCAUGGCGGGAACUUUAAGGAGACUGCCGGUGAUAAACCGGAGGAAGGUGGGGACGACGUCAAGUCAUCAUGGCCCUUACGAGCGGGGCUACACACGUGCUACAAUGGCCAGGACAAACGGUUGCAACCCCGCGAGGGUGAGCUAAUCUGAGAAACCUGGUCGUAGCCCGGAUCGCAGUCUGCAACUCGACUGCGUGAAGUCGGAAUCGCUAGUAAUCGUGAAUCAGAACGUCACGGUGAAUACGUUCCCGGGCCUUGUACACACCGCCCGUCACACCAUGGGAGUGGAUUGCACCAGAAGUAGCUAGCUGAACCUUCGGGAGGGCGGUUACCACGGUGUGGUUCAUGACUGGGGUGA
rnacentral:rRNA from 1 species